UACAGAGGCCUCGAGCGUUAGGCGGAAUCACUGGGCUUAAAGCGUGUGUAGGCGGACUUCUAAGUACCUUGUGAAAUCCCACGGCUCACCCGUGGAACUGCUUGGUAUACUGGUUGUCUUGAGCGUUCUAGGGGCGAGUGGAACAAAUGGUGGAGCGGUGAAAUGCGUAGAUAUCAUUUGGAACGCCAAUGGUGAAAACAACUCGCUGGGGAAGUGCUGACGCUGAGACACGAAAGCCAGGGGAGCGAACGGG
rnacentral:rRNA from 1 species